AUACGUAGGUGACAGGCGUUAUCCGGAUUUACUGGGCGUAAAGGGCGUGUAGGCGGUCUUGCAAGUCAGAAGUGAAAUUCCUGAGCUCAACUCGGGCGCUGCUUCUGAAACUGCAGGACUUGAGUGCUGGAGGGGAUAGCGGAAUUCCUAGUGGAGCGGUAAAAUGCGCAGAUAUUAGGAAGAACACCGGUGGCGAAGGCGGCUAUCUGGACAGUAACUGACGCUGAGGCGCGAAAGCGUGGGGAGCAAACAGGAUUAGAUCCCCUGGUAGUCCACGCCGUAAACGAUGAAUACUAGGUGUAGGGGGUAUCGACUCCCUCUGUGCCGCAGUUAACACAAUAAGUAUUCCGCCUGGGGAGUACGGCCGCAAGGUUGAAACUCAAAUGAAUUGACGGGG
rnacentral:rRNA from 1 species